rnacentral:lncRNA from 1 species
UUUCUAUGUUGUGUCGUGUGUGCUGUUGUUUAUUUGUCCUUUUCAUUUUUAGCCAUGGCGUUGUCAGUUUGUUUUAGAUUUAUGAGUUUGACUGUCCCUUUGGUAUCUUCCGUCCCUUUUUUUUAAAGGAUAAGAGAGAGAAAAAAAUGAAUGUAUGAACAAGGUAUUAAACAAAGGUUUCAUUGAUUUGUACAAUAGGAAGUGUUAG